rnacentral:rRNA from 1 species
CCUACGGGGGGCUGCAGUGGGGAAUAUUGGACAAUGGGGGGAACCCUGAUCCAGCCAUGCCGCGUGUGUGAAGAAGGCCCUCGGGUUGUAAAGCACUUUCAGUGAGGAAGAACGCCUGGUGGUUAAUACCCAUCAGGAAAGACAUCACUCACAGAAGAAGCACCGGCUAACUCCGUGCCAGCAGCCGCGGUAAUACGGAGGGUGCGAGCGUUAAUCGGAAUUACUGGGCGUAAAGCGCGCGUAGGUGGCUUGAUAAGCCGGUUGUGAAAGCCCCGGGCUCAACCUGGGAACGGCAUCCGGAACUGUCAAGCUAGAGCGCAGGAGAGGAAGGUAGAAUUCCCGGUGUAGCGGUGAAAUGCGUAGAGAUCGGGAGGAAUACCAGUGGCGAAGGCGGCCUUCUGGACUGACACUGACACUGAGGUGCGAAAGCGUGGGUAGCAAACAGGAUUAGAUACCCGUGUAGUC